UUGCAAUGAUGAAAUUCUUAGGACACCUUUUAAUGUUCCAUGAGAAAAACCAAAGCGUUACCAAACCUGAGCAAA